AGUCAUUUUCUGAGAUGAAUAUGUCGUGGCUCUUGCUCCUUUCUAGGGUAUCGUGCAGCAGUUCCUGGUGUUGCUGACGACCAGCUCUGAUGAAAGUCUCCGGUUUCUCAGCUUCAGGUUGGACUUCAACGAGCAUUAUAAAGCUCGAGAGCCACGACUCCGCGUGUCUCUGGGCACCAGAGGGCGACGCUGCUCCCGCACGUGAGGCGCCUGCGUCACCCCAGGGAGCUGCAGAUAACUUCUAAACUAGUAUAGAAAAAAGGAGUGACAUAGAAGAAAAACAUCCUUAAUCGGUGCAGCCAAAUUUCUCGAAACCAUCAGCUGACACAGUGUGUAAAUAUGAGUGACUAAAAAGUUAAUGUACUAUUUUAUUUUCAGAAUUCUGAUAAGCAUUGGAAAGAAAUGGACUUGGAUAAUGAAGAUUUCCUUUUCCUUGCCUAUUUUUUCAUUGUAAAUAUUUAUCUACUACUAACCAGAUGAUCGGGGCACUGUUUUUUGUAAACAUGUCAUGUCUGGCCACAUAAAUCUGCCUUUAUUAUGUUGCCUAAGUGAAAACUUAGAAAUUAAAAAUUAAAUUAUCUUUCAAAUGUA